rnacentral:rRNA from 1 species
UGGGGAAUCUUGGACAAUGGGCGCAAGCCUGAUCCAGCCAUGCCGCGUGAGUGAAGAAGGCCUUAGGGUUGUAAAACUCUUUCGCCGGAGAAGAUAAUGACGGUAUCCGGAGAAGAAGCCCCGGCUAACUUCGUGCCAGCAGCCGCGGUAAUACGAAGGGGGCUAGCGUUGUUCGGAAUUACUGGGCGUAAAGCGCACGUAGGCGGGUUUGUAAGUAGGGGGUGAAAUCCCAGGGCUCAACCCUGGAACUGCCUUCUAGACUGCAAGCCUGGAGGUCAGGAGAGGCGAGUGGAAUACCGAGUGUAGAGGUGAAAUUCGUAGAUAUUCGGUGGAACACCAGUGGCGAAGGCGACUCGCUGGACUGAUACUGACGCUGAGGUGCGAAAGCGUGGGGAGCAAACAGG